GGGGGCGACCGGUUUCGACGUGGGUUGUGAACCUUCAGGGGCGUACCGAGGCGCAGUGCCCUCGUAAAUAAUGCUGCAAAUCAUAGUUGCCAACGACGACAACUACGCUCUAGCUGCCUAAUCGCAGCUGACCUCUGACCAGCUCGUGCCUAUGCGACUGAAUCAGGGGUAGCGCUCAUAGGAUCGCGUUCCAGCGUGCGACGGGC
rnacentral:tmRNA from 1 species